rnacentral:rRNA from 1 species
AAGAGUUUGAUCCUGGCUCAGGAUGAACGCUGGCGGCGUGCCUAACACAUGCAAGUCGAGCGAUUCUCUUAGGAGAAGAGCGGCGGACGGGUGAGUAACGCGUGGGUAACCUGCCCUGUACACACGGAUAACAUACCGAAAGGUAUGCUAAUACGGGAUAACAUAUUUUGAUGGCAUCAUCGAAAUAUCAAAGCUUUGGCGGUACAGGAUGGACCCGCGUCUGAUUAGCUAGUUGGUGAGGUAAUGGCUCACCAAGGCGACGAUCAGUAGCCGACCUGAGAGGGUGAUCGGCCACAUUGGAACUGAGACACGGUCCAAACUCCUACGGGAGGCAGCAGUGGGGAAUAUUGCGCAAUGGGGGCAACCCUGACGCAGCGACGCCGCGUGGAUGCGAUGAAGGCCUUAGGGUCGUAAAGCUCUGUCCUCAAGGAAGAUAAUGACGGUACUUGAGGAGGAAGCCCCGGCUAACUACGUGCCAGCAGCCGCGGUAAUACGUAGGGGGCUAGCGUUAUCCGGAAUUAUUGGGCGUAAAGGGUGCGUAGGCGGCUUCUUAAGUCAGGUGUGAAAUACCCGGGCUUAACUUGGGAGGUGCAUCCAAAACUGGUAGACUAGAGUACAGGAGAGGGAAGCGGAAUUCCUAGUGUAGCGGUGAAAUGCGUAGAUAUUAGGAGGAACACCAGUGGCGAAGGCGGCUUUCUGGACUGACACUGACGCUGAGGCACGAAAGCGUGGGGAGCAAACAGGAUUAGAUACCCUGGUAGUCCACGCUGUAAACGAUGAAUACUAGGUGUAGGGGGUAUCAACUCCCCCUGUGCCGGAGCAAACGCAAUAAGUAUUCCGCCUGGGGAGUACGGCCGCAAGGUUGAAACUCAAAGGAAUUGACGGGGGCCCGCACAAGCAGCGGAGCAUGUGGUUUAAUUCGAAGCAACGCGAAGAACCUUACCAAGGCUUGACAUCCUGCUAAACUCAUGGAAACAUGAGGUCCCUUCGGGGGAGCAGAGACAGGUGGUGCAUGGUUGUCGUCAGCUCGUGUCGUGAGAUGUUGGGUUAAGUCCCGCAACGAGCGCAACCCUUGUUGCCAGUUACCAGCGAGUAAAGUCGGGGACUCUGGUGAGACUGCCGGGGAUAACUCGGAGGAAGGUGGGGACGACGUCAAAUCAUCAUGCCCCUUAUGUCUUGGGCUACACACGUGCUACAAUGGCUGUAACAAAGGGAAGCGACAGCGUAAGCUGAAGCGGAUCUCAG